rnacentral:misc_RNA from 1 species
AACGGUCUAUACCUGCGGUACCUGCGGAGGGAUCAUUACCGAGUUCUCGCCCCUCGCGGGGUAGACCUCCCACCCACUGUGAUCACUACCGUCGUUGCUUUGGCGGGCCGCUGGGCCCAGCCCACCGCCGGCUCCGGCUGGCGCGUGCCCGCCAGAGGCCCUACAAACGCUGGAUAUCAGUGCCGUCUGAGUACACAUGUUAAUCGUUAAAACUUUCAACAAUGGAUCUCUAGAUCGGAA